AUUUAAAUAGUUUAUUAAAAUAAUGAUUUGUGAUAUCAUAGAUGUCUUUGUUGACUUUAAAUU
rnacentral:tRNA from 1 species